UUACGGGAGGCAGCAGUGGGGAAUUUUGCGCAAUGGGGGAAACCCUGACGCAGCAACGCCGCGUGGAGGAUGAAGUCCUUCGGGACGUAAACUCCUUUCGAUCGGGACGAUAAUGACGGUACCGAGAGAAGAAGCCCCGGCUAACUUCGUGCCAGCAGCCGCGGUAAUACGAGGGGGGCGAGCGUUGUUCGGAAUUAUUGGGCGUAAAGGGUGCGUAGGCGGUUUGGUAAGUCUGAUGUGAAAUCUAUGGGCUCAACUCAUAGUCUGUAUCGGAAACUGCCGGGCUUGAGUGUGGGAGAGGUGAGUGGAAUUCCUGGUGUAGCGGUGAAAUGCGUAGAUAUCAGGAGGAACACCUGUGGCGAAAGCGGCUCACUGGACCAUAACUGACGCUGAUGCACGAAAGCUAGGGGAGCAAACAGGAUUAGAUACCCCAGUA
rnacentral:rRNA from 1 species